rnacentral:ncRNA from 1 species
ACUAUCGCGAGGUGGAAUCUGAAGGAAGCCGAAAGCAAACCUCUGCCCGAGGAAUACGAAUUGCAUCAGGCAUAACCGGUGGAAUGAGAUUGCAAGACAGAUCGAAGUCCAACGGCUAUACGGAUCCCGCUCCCGCGCGGUGUGCCGUGAGUAAAGGCAAGCGUU